rnacentral:tRNA from 1 species
GCCGAUAUAGUUCAAUGGCAGAACACCGCCCUUGUAAGGCGGAUGUUAUCAGUUCGAGUCUGGUUAUCGGCU